AUACUUUUGUGGUUCUUAAGCAUGAAUGAUUUGGGUUUCAUACUAUGUGUGAGAUGUGCCUCCCUCUAAAUCUUGUUACAACAUUGGUACAUUACCCAUCUGACG